GCACGUAAACAAGGAAUGGAAAACUGGCGAUUCUUGCCCCCCUCCCCAACUUAAACCUCUUCCUCCCUCGUUACAAACCAUUUCAUUGAUUUGGCAUCAACUGUUUCCAAAUAAAUUACCAAUUCUAAAUUGCAAGGUGUUCUGUGUACAAAAGUGCAAUAAAAUUCCAGCCAUUUGAUUCUCCCCCUCAUCACCCCAGACGCCGCUUCCUUUAAAAGAACAAAACCAAGAAGCUUUUAAAAUCCUCUCCAGCCUAUUUCACCAAGUUGCUCCCUGAACCCUCUCCUGUCCCAAGCAAUGAAAAUAAGCUCCCAAACCUACAAGAACAUAAAUAAAUACGCCAGAAAGGAGGGGAAGAAGAGAAAGCAGGGAAAGAAAAUGAAAAACACUUACCGAGAAAACUUCCAGGGUUAGAUUUUUAAAUAAAAGAAGAUGUUUUAUUUUUUUUUUUAAAUAAGAGGACUGGGGUGGGGGCGGAGGGGAAGGCAUAUUCUCAACUCUCCAGAACCGACGCAUCCUUAGCCUUCCCUUUACACUGACGCCUCUAAGCCCAGCUCUCCACUAGUCUAUUAUUUUCACCAAAAUAUAUGAAAAUGUAUGCAAAUGAAAAUCAGCACUAACUGUU